rnacentral:rRNA from 1 species
GAACGCUGGCGGCAGGCCUAACACAUGCAAGUCGAGCGGUAACAGGAUNUAGCUUGCUACNUGCUGACGAGCGGCGGACGGGUGAGUAAUGCAUAGGAAUCUGCCCGAUAGUGGGGGAUAACCUGGGGAAACCCAGGCUAAUACCGCAUACGUCCUACGGGAGAAAGGGGGCUUCGGCUCCCGCUAUUGGAUGAGCCUAUGUCGGAUUAGCUAGUUGGUGAGGUAAAGGCUCACCAAGGCAACGAUCCGUAGCUGGUCUGAGAGGAUGAUCAGCCACAUCGGGACUGAGACACGGCCCGAACUCCUACGGGAGGCAGCAGUGGGGAAUAUUGGACAAUGGGGGCAACCCUGAUCCAGCCAUGCCGCGUGUGUGAAGAAGGCCCUCGGGUUGUAAAGCACUUUCAGCGAGGAAGAACGCCUAUCGGUUAAUACCCGGUAGGAAAGACAUCACUCGCAGAAGAAGCACCGGCUAACUCCGUGCCAGCAGCCGCGGUAAUACGGAGGGUGCAAGCGUUAAUCGGAAUUACUGGGCGUAAAGCGCGCGUAGGUGGCUUGAUAAGCCGGUUGUGAAAGCCCCGGGCUCAACCUGGGAACGGCAUCCGGAACUGUCAGGCUAGAGUGCAGGAGAGGAAGGUAGAAUUCCCGGUGUAGCGGUGAAAUGCGUAGAGAUCGGGAGGAAUACCAGUGGCGAAGGCGGCCUUCUGGACUGACACUGACACUGAGGUGCGAAAGCGUGGGUAGCAAACAGGAUUAGAUACCCUGGUAGUCCACGCCGUAAACGAUGUCGACCAGCCGUUGGGUGCNUAAGCACUUUGUGGCGAA